rnacentral:rRNA from 1 species
GAUGAACACUGGCGGUAUGCUUAACACAUGCAAGUCGAACGGACUCUUCGGAGUUAGUGGCGGACGGGUGAGUAACGCGUGAGAAUCUGGCUUUGGGUUCGGGACAACCACUGGAAACGGUGGCCAAUACCGGAUGUGCCGAGAGGUAAAAGAGAAAUUGCCUGAAGAUGAGCUCGCGUCUGAUUAGCUAGUUGGUGAGGUAAAGGCUCACCAAGGCAGCGAUCAGUAGCUGGUCUGAGAGGAUGACCAGCCACACUGGGACUGAGACACGGCCCAGACUCCUACGGGAGGCAGCAGUGGGGAAUUUUCCGCAAUGGGCGAAAGCCUGACGGAGCAAUACCGCGUGAGGGAAGAAGGCUCUUGGGUUGUAAACCUCUUUUCUUAGGGAAGAACAAAAUGACGGUACCUAAGGAAUCAGCAUCGGCUAACUCCGUG